rnacentral:rRNA from 1 species
UACGUAGGGGGCAAGCGUUGUCCGGAAUCAUUGGGCGUAAAGAGCGUGUAGGCGGCUCGAUAAGUCUGCUGUGAAAGUCCAGGGCUCAACCCUGGAAGGCCGGUGGAAACUGUCGGGCUAGAGUCCGGAAGAGGCGAGUGGAAUUCCCGGUGUAGCGGUGAAAUGCGUAGAUAUUGGGAAGAACACCGGUGGCGAAAGCGCUCUGCUGGACCUGCACUGACACUGAGGGACGAAAGCUAGGGGAGCGAAAGGG